rfam:Helianthus annuus linkage group 3, whole genome shotgun sequence.
GGGGAGCAUUUAAAGUUGAAAUGUUGCCUGAUAUACCCUUCCUAUAACAAGUCAAAAGUCUCGACUUUUCCUGCUUGUUGUACACGAGUCAUGUUCACAAGCCUCCGGAUUAUGAGAUACAUA